AGCGAACGCUGGCGGCGUGCCUAACACAUGCAAGUCGAACGUGAAAGAGGGGCAACUCUCGAGUAAAGUGGCGUACGGGUGAGUAACGCGUAGGUAAUCUACCCCAGAAUCUGGAAUAACCUGCCGAAAGGCGGGCUAAUACUGGAUAGAGCGAUGGAAUCCGUAAUUGGGUUUUUCGGGAAAGGGGGGCCGUAAGGUCUCUCGUUUUGGGAUGAGCCUGCGUCUCAUUAGCUAGUUGGUAGGGUAAUGGCCUACCAAGGCUUUUGAUGGGUAGCUGGUCUGAGAGGAUGAUCAGCCACACUGGAACUGAAACACGGUCCAGACUCCUACGGGAGGCAGCAGUGGGGAAUCUUGCGCAAUGGACGAAAGUCUGACGCAGCCACGCCGCGUGAGUGAAGGAGGCCU
rnacentral:rRNA from 1 species